UUGGCACCUGAAACACCUUAGUGGGUUCGGAACAAAAGCUCUCACAGGAUAAUUUAUACCCUAGCAUGACUUUAUCCGGCAACACUCUGCAUCAAAACUCUAAAGGACAGACCGUGUCUCCUCAUGCUCACGCUCUCCACCGGGUCUGCAUUGCAUCAAGCAUUGUCUUCACCGGACCCAGGCUUUAGCCCCGAAUGAUUUUGUCUCUGUUCCGAGUCUUUUGCCCUGCUGGAAUAGUGUAAAAUAAGCUAUUCUACACUGCAAGGAAUAUUACAAACAUGAGCCCUGGUCUGCCCUGUCUUUUUAGUGCUGCCUAAAACCAGCAUUUCAGUGUAUGGUGGCACUUUAGGAGGCGGAGACAAGGUGGUUUUCUAAAGUAAUUUUUGAUUCGUCCCCCCCAAACUAUAUUUUGCCGUGCACAGGCUCAAUCUCUGUGGGAGAGAGCGCAAAGAUGAGAAGGAGAACCGGAGGUGAACUUUGAAACCCAAGACAGCAGAACGUCAGACAGCAAGGAAGAGAGGGGACAAGACAGAGCGAGAACACGGGAGAACAUCUCGAGAGGGCAGGCCCACACAAGACAAACAUGGCAUAUUCAUCUCAAGCCAGAGGAACUAGUCCUUGCUAAACAUAAAGAUGCCACUUCUGACAUGUCCUGUGUGUAUACAUUGUUAGACACUGAUAUUUUCCCAUCACUCAAGGCAAUCGUAUAGACUGUGCUGACCAUCCCAGUUAGCAGCUGUGAGAGAUCUUUCAGUGCAUUAAAACAUCUACAUACCUGGCUUAGGAGACCAAGAUAGGAUGACAAUUGACAAGGAUAUUCAUACUAACACGCUUGGGAAAGAGUGAAGUCAUAGACAGGUUUGCACCUACAUUUUAAUUUUAUGGAUGGACUAAUUUUAGCACUGUGUAAUAUAACUAGCAAACAUUGUGAAUAUUUAGUUGGAGAAUGGAUUGUAUGCUGGUACAUGUGUGUAAAAUUGUGAAGAGAUAUUACUACAGGGGUGUUGGGGGGGGUGUAUUUGUUUUUGUGUAAUUACUUAGGUAGAAAUAGUCAAGUAGCUAAUUGACCUUGGACUUUUUGACAUCCACGUGAUUCAGAAUAUACCAUCUUCAUAGUCAUGUUAUGCUUGGUUCAAUAGCUAUUGACGAGGAAACCGAAUACCCAAUAUAAAACAAAUUUUACUUCUUUAAGCAGAACACCACUUUCGUCCCCAUAGACUCAAAACCACAAACAGAUCAACCAAAGGUAUGGAUCCACUUAAUCCAAGAAUCAUACUCCCAUUGGGCCAGAGUCUUCCUGAUCAUUGGAGUGAGGCUCGGAAGCCUUCACACCACCUGACGACCCAGGUUCUUUCUCCUCACUUUCGUCAGGAUCAAUUUCAAGUUCACUGUCCGUUGACAGCUCAGGGUCUUCAGGCACAUAACAUGCAUUUUGUCUCUCCCGUUUCCUACCCCAUUAAAGUUGAACAUUUAAAUGGGUUAGGUAAGGGUUAAUGGCAGGGGGCUUGCAUGUUUUGCAUGUUAUUUUGGCAUUAAUACGUGUCACAUCAGUUUGCAAACAAUGUAAAAAAAUAUAUAUAUACAUCAUUGAGUUAAUAAAACUGCAUACAAACAUG